UUUAAGAAGAAUAAUGAGAAGGGAUUGAUGCAAUGCAAUAUGGUAAGCUCUUGAUGUCAUCAGGGAUAGUGUUAAAUUGAUAGUGUGCACUGGGGACGAGAGAUCAGAGUGAUCAAGAGAGAUGAGAGAUAGAACGAGAAGGAGAGGAGAGGGAGUGAGCAAGGGAAGCUAGAGGGACCAUAGGGCAGGGGGCUAGGAAGAGAGGGAACGCCAGCAGAAGAUAGCAACUGUUCACCCACCUUCGACGCCCUUCAGACAGUGCGUCACCACAUCAUCAUUCCUGUCUUCCACGACAACCGCACACGCAGAGCCACCCUCAGCUUAGUUCAACUAUUCCUCAUGAGGAAUCGACCGCCAUUGUGAGGAAUCGACGGCGACUUGGGCCAAGAAGGUAUAAACUAAAGAUGGGAUCUAGUGAGGAGGUCAAGACGCGGUGGUGGUGACUGGAUUUCAAAACGAGUGAGAGAUUCAAGACGAGGUGAUGAAUUGGAAUCGAGAGUGAGUGAGAGGAUUUGAGGAGUAAUGGGAUUGACAUUGUCAAGUCGAGAGGGAGAGAUCAGAGAUGGACUUGAGAGGUGGUGAUCUGUCAGACUAAGGCGGGGAGGAACUGAGGC
rnacentral:misc_RNA from 1 species